GGCGUGGCGGGAUGGCGUGGCGAUGCGAGAUAGUAAGUUGCGCUGCGCUGUGUUGCGUUGGAGGGGCUGAGGUGGGCGAAUGGAGAUCCUGCUGCAUCUGCGAGUGACGACGACGAUGACGCUGCUGCUGCUUCGACGUGCUUCGCAGCGCUAGGACCCCCUCCCUCGCCGCUCCUUCGCCCACCUCCUCCUUCUUCGCGGAUAUAGGUCCCACGCCCUGCCCCCCUCUCCUGCUGCAUAACGUAAAAGGCAAAGUAAAGGCAAAAGGUAAAAAAGUGGUGGUGGGGAUGCUUUUCAUUCCUCUUUGGGGAGGAUGUAAAAUCUUACCUGCUUUCUUUUGUACCUAGUAGACCAGGUCUUCGAUUUGAAGACCCUAAAAAUAAUAUCCACGAGUGUAAUAACAGCAUCUCUAGAUUUAUCAUCUCUGAACAUUUUGAUUUGGAGGGUGUGGGAUUAUAUUAUAAAAAUAAGGAUGAUUUAGGGUUUGUUGCAACAAUUAUUAAAUGUUAUUUAUUUAAUUCUAAUUUAUUUUAUUUUGUGUGGUGAUCAUCA